UUUGAUUUAAUGUCUAACCCCUCCCAUUCCCAGCCCCACGCUAGCAUCCCAGGUGCCCUGACCCUGGGCCCGAGGUGGCCUGGGGUGCAAAGUUCCCCACCCUGGGGUGUAGUCCUCACCCAUCCCACAGGGACUGCCCACCGUCCUCCAGGACCCCACCUGAGGGGCACCAAGUUUAGUGCUGCUGCUUUCACUGCUGCACCCACGCCCUCGGCCGGCCCCCGAGCAGCCUUUGUACUCCCUCCAGGAUGUCCCCACCCUCUCCUGUGCUGCCAGGUUGUAGCUAUAGCUACAAAUAAAAAAACCUUGUUUUCCAGAAAA